GCGCAGCCGCAAAAGGAGCGGACGGGUCUGCGCCGCCGCAGGAGGAGCAGGCGGUACCUGGACGGGUUCGUCCCGGGCUGUUUCGCGUCCGGCCUGAGGCGGCUGGGGCCGCGCAGGUAGUGUCCCUGCACUUCUUGCCCGGGCGCGUGAGGCCAGCUCCGCUGCGCUGGCCUCCAGUUUCCAGCCCUCCUCCCCUAAGCCGCCGCCAUCAUGCUGCUGCCUGUGUUCACCCUGAAACUGCGCCACAAAAUCAGCCCCCGAAUGGUGGCCAUAGGGCGCUACGACGGGACUCACCCGUGCCUGGCGGCCGCCACCCAAACGGGCAAGGUUUUUAUUCAUAAUCCUCAUACACGGAACCAGCAUGUCAGUGCAUCCAGGGUCUUCCAGAGCCCCCUGGAAUCUGAUGUUUCUCUUCUCAACAUUAACCAGGCAGUCAGCUGUCUGACUGCAGGCGUAUUGAACCCUGAGCUUGGCUAUGAUGCCCUUUUAGUGGGGACACAGACUAAUCUUUUGGCUUAUGAUGUCUACAAUAAUUCGGAUUUGUUCUACAGAGAGGCAACAGAUGGGGCAAAUGCAAUUGUGCUGGGGACAUUGGGAGACAUUUCUUCCCCUCUUGCGAUUAUUGGUGGCAAUUGUGCUCUGCAAGGUUUCAAUCAUGAAGGAAGUGAUCUCUUUUGGACGGUUACUGGAGACAAUGUUAAUUCCUUGGCCUUGUGUGACUUUGAUGGUGAUGGAAAGAAAGAGCUUCUUGUUGGAUCUGAGGAUUUUGAUAUCCGAGUUUUUAAGGAAGAUGAGAUUGUGGCAGAAAUGACAGAAACAGAGAUAGUCACCUCUCUUUGUCCCAUGUAUGGCAGUCGGUUUGGUUAUGCCCUUUCCAAUGGCACAGUUGGAGUUUAUGACAAAACAUCCCGAUACUGGAGAAUUAAAUCGAAAAAUCAUGCCAUGAGCAUUCAUGCUUUUGACCUUAAUUCUGAUGGAGUGAAUGAACUGAUAACUGGUUGGUCCAAUGGGAAGGUUGAUGCUCGAAGUGACCGAACUGGGGAGGUCAUCUUUAAGGACAAUUUUUCUUCUGCAAUUGCCGGUGUGGUAGAGGGAGAUUACCGGAUGGAUGGCCACAUACAGUUAAUCUGCUGCUCAGUGGAUGGGGAAAUCCGGGGCUACCUGCCUGGCACGGCUGAGAUGAGGGGGAACCUCAUGGACACCAGUGCAGAGCAGGACCUGAUCCGAGAGCUGAGUCAGAAGAAGCAGAAUCUGUUGCUGGAACUCCGUAACUAUGAGGAAAACACCAAGGCUGAAUUGGCCAGUCCACUGAACGAGGCUGAUGGGCAUCGGGGCAUAAUCCCAGCCAAUACCAGGCUCCACACCACGCUCUCAGUCAGCCUGGGGAAUGAGACCCAAACUGCUCAUACAGAAUUACGCAUUUCCACUUCUAAUGACACCAUCAUCCGAGCAGUAUUGAUUUUUGCAGAGGGAAUUUUUACAGGUGAAAGCCACGUGGUACAUCCCAGCAUUCACAACCUCUCCAGUUCCAUCUGCAUCCCUAUUGUGCCUCCCAAAGAUGUCCCUGUGGAUCUGCACUUGAAGGCAUUCGUGGGUUACAGAAGCAGCACCCAGUUUCAUGUAUUUGAAUUGACAAGACAGCUCCCUCGAUUCUCCAUGUAUGCGCUGACCAGCCUGGACCCUGCCAGUGAGCCAAUCAGUUAUGUUAACUUUACCAUUGCAGAACGGGCACAGAGGGUUGUCGUAUGGCUCGGUCAGAACUUUCUGUUACCAGAAGACACUCACAUUCAGAACGCUUCAUUUCAAGUGUGUUUCACAUCUUUACGGAAUGGUGGCCACCUGCAUAUAAAAAUAAAACUUAGUGGAGAGAUCACUAUAAAUACUGAUGAUAUUGAUUUGGCUGGUGAUAUCAUCCAGUCAAUGGCAUCAUUUUUUGCUAUUGAAGACCUUCAAGUAGAAGCGGAUUUUCCUGUCUAUUUUGAGGAAUUACGAAAGGUGCUAGUUAAGGUGGAUGAAUAUCAUUCAGUGCAUCAGAAGCUCAGUGCUGAUAUGGCUGAUCAUUCUAAUUUGAUCCGAAGUUUGCUGGUCGGAGCUGAGGAUGCUCGUCUGAUGAGGGACAUGAAAACAAUGAAGAGUCGUUAUAUGGAACUCUAUGACCUUAAUAGAGACUUGCUAAAUGGAUAUAAAAUUCGCUGUAACAAUCACACAGAGCUGUUGGGAAACCUCAAAGCAGUAAAUCAAGCAAUUCAAAGAGCAGGUCGUCUGCGGGUUGGAAAACCAAAGAACCAGGUGAUCACUGCUUGUCGGGAUGCAAUUCGAAGCAAUAACAUCAACACACUGUUCAAAAUCAUGCGAGUGGGGACAGCUUCUUCCUAGGAGAGGAAAAUACAGGUCAUGAAGUUCCUGGCAAAGAUUUUCUGUUAAAAACCUAUGCUGGUUUGCUUUGGAUCACACCCUGGUGAACCCUGGGUGCUAAGAACGAAAAUAACCUUGGAGGAUUAUGGCUAGUCCCUUCUUCAGUGAUAUCAGCGGUUUCUGCCUCUUUUUUAUCAUUCAUCUCAUCUUCUUCCGAAGGGGCCAAGAAAUGAAGCUUCAGGCCUGUGAAGUUGGAGAGCAGCAAGAAUAGUGCCUCAGAGCGAAAUAACUUCAUGCACUCCUUCAAUAUCUCAGGAAGCGUACUCUCCUCAGCUUUCUCAUAAAACCUGAAAAACAGCAACGUCAAGUUGUUCAUCAAAGCCACAGAUGUAAAAUGACUCAUAGAAUAAAAGCUGAUCAUUAGCUUUG